rnacentral:rRNA from 1 species
GACGAACGCUGGCGGCGUGCUUAACACAUGCAAGUCGAACGGCAGCACAGCAGAGCUUGCUCUGUGGGUGGCGAGUGGCGGACGGGUGAGGAAUACAUGGGAAUCUGCCCAGUCGUGGGGGAUAACGUAGGGAAACUUACGCUAAUACCGCAUGCGCCCUUCGGGGAAAGCCGGGGACCUUCGGGCCUGGCGCGAUUGGAUGAGCCCAUGUCGGAUUAGCUAGUUGGCGGGGUAAAGGCCCACCAAGGCGACGAUCCGUAGCUGGUCUGAGAGGAUGAUCAGCCACACUGGAACUGAGACACGGUCCAGACUCCUACGGGAGGCAGCAGUAGGGAAUAUUGGACAAUGGGCGCAAGCCUGAUCCAGCCAUGCCGCGUGAGUGAAGAAGGCCCUCGGGUUGUAAAGCUCUUUUGUCCGGAAAGAAAAGCGCCGGGUUAAUACCCUGGUGUCCUGACGGUACCGGAAGAAUAAGCACCGGCUAACUUCGUGCCAGCAGCCGAC